UCCAGUUUUCGAAUCUUUCCUGAUACAUUUAUUUAUACACUAAAACCCAGUCAAGCUACUUAAUUCUGUAGAAAUUAUGAAUGAUUUAGCAUGGAGUAGAUGUACUAUAGUUUACAAAAAUCCGGCAUCCUUUUCAAUUCAAGGAGGGCAGUGAAGCGGGCCACAAGCUGAGGCCGCAGCGAAACGGGCUGCGGGCGGGCAGCACAUCAGUGUGCGGCUGGACGUUGUGGGAGUAACUGGCAGGUCAUGCGGCGCUCUGUCAUCCUCUUGGCUCUUUUGUGCGGGGCAGUGGUGGUGAGCCUUGCUGCCAAGUCACAGAGCUAUGUGGAGAGUGUCUCAGAUCCAAAAGUAAGG